GUUUUCACUUUGGCACCACAUACACUAAAAUUGAAAUGACAGAGAAGAUUAGAAUGGUCACUGAGCGAGCAUAACAUUGGAAAUUUGUGAAGUAUUCCAUAUGUUU
ensembl:snRNA U6 U6 spliceosomal RNA